GGCGGCGUACCCAAGUGGACUAAGGGGACGGAUUGCAAAUCCGUUAUUCAUCGGUUCGAAUCCGAUCGCCGCCU
rnacentral:tRNA from 1 species